ACAGGCGUGAGCCACCACGCCCGGCCGAGGGCAGGAAUCUUUACUUUUCUCGCUGAUGUCUCCCAAGUGCCCAGAACUUGCCAGGCCAUUUUAGGUGCUCCAUAGACAUUUAUUUAGAUUGUCGCUGGCACUGGAGCUGAGAGCAGAGAGAAGCUUGAGGGAAGAAGGGGGGUCCUCAAAGCCAUGGCUACCCCUCAGAGGGGAGGCAGGGGCAGGGGAAGGAGCGGGGCCGGGCGGCCACCGGAUCUCUGGACCCCUCCACCCCACUUGCCCUCCUCCCUCGGGGGUGGGGGGGCAUGUCUGCCCUGCACACGCAUGUUGGCACACACCUGCGUACCCUGCAUAGGUGGCCCCACCUCCCACCUAGUCCAGAUGCAUGCGCGGCUGACGUGGCUGUGGUUUUGAGGCCCCAGAGGUACAGAUUAGAGUCAGGGCGUCUGUCCUUUUCGGCUGCAGGAGCAGGGUGGGAUGGGGACAGGCACUCCCUGCAAGCAAGCACCCAGAGGCCCUUUCUCCCUGACCUCUUGCACACACAUGUGGACAGACAGGUGGUCCCCCAGGCUGGCUGUCCUUAGACCUCAGGCCCAGGAGCUGUGCACCUAUCUAUACUAGGCCUUGUUGCAGGGGAAGAGGGGCGGCAGAGGAAGUGGCUGCGGGCGCCCUUCCUAGCGUCUGAACUUCCACCUUUAGUGUUUGUGCCCGACACAUGGGCGCCCAGCUUUGUUUGUCAGUUCUUUCCUUUGAGGGAAGCGUUAUUUCUUUUGCCUUCUCAUGUCAAAACCACAUCCCUGCGGGAGGGUUUCACAUUCAGCCCUUAGUGGUGUUGAGCUUGUCUGCCCAGGCCUCCCUCACGCGCACACCAUGUGGCCAGUCCUGGGGAGCAUGCCGGUCCCCUGCUCAGAAACCUGCUGCUGCCCAGGGCCUACCAGGUCCAGCCCCGCACUCAGACCCAGUGCUCGAGGCCCUGCCCUGCCGCCUUCCCUACCCCAGGCAUCCUGCUUUGCGGGCAGAUGUGUGGCCUUGAGCCAGGUGUCCAGGUUCAAUGCCAGCACUGUAUGACUGGCAAGUCACUUAGCCUCUUUGUGCCCAGGUUCUCUUCCUCGCAGAACUAUUGUGAGAGUUAAGUAGGUUCACAUAUGCAAAGUGCUUAGCACAGCACCUACUGUGCAGGUAAGGUGUCAAUUAAUAUUAGCUGCCAUGAUGAUCAUUUCCUGCCUCAAAGUCAGGAGGGCCUGAGAAAUGGCUUUGUCAGGGCUUUGCAGCCCAGCUCUGGCCUCCCAGACUGAGCCAGCUGCUUCCAGGUCACCUGGGAGCUUGUUGGAGACUCAGAGUCCCAAGCCGCUCUAGGGGUUGUGACACAGCAGCUGUGGGCUGGGCUGGGGUGGUGGGGCUGGGGGCCUCACACCUGGGCCUGCAGGCAUCUGUGGGACAGGAAUCCCCUGCAAGGCCCUUCCCCAGCCUCAGGCUGGUCCACCCACCCGAGUCUUUCCAAUUCUGCUUCUCCAGAUCCCCUGUGCCUUGCAAGGUUCCUGUCCUGCAGGAAGUAGGCCCACAAACCCUGCCGCCGACACCCCACAACCCCUCCUUCCUGGAGCCUCAGUUUCCUCAAGUAUGAAAGGGGAUAAAAAAUGCCCACAUCUCAGGAUUAACAUCAAGCAAGGUCUUAGAUGAAAAGCACCUGGCCCAUGGCAGCCGAGAAGGCUAGUUAUUAUUACUGCUAUUGGUGUUAUUGCCCGCACCCUGCACCUGCUGAGCACCUGCAUGUUCCUCUGGGUUCCCGGCAGGGUCUAAAUGCCUAAACUCACAUCAGGUGUUAGGGAAGUUGUGUUGACCAGGGUGGACUCUGAUUAACCUUCCACCUCCUUGCCUUGGGCUCUUGGAGCUGAGAGGGAGCACCAUGGCUGGAGUCUGAGUGUGGCUGGCCCUCACUCAAAACAGCCUGAGUGAAGGAGGAAGGAAGAGAGGUUGAACUGAGUGGCUUGGGCCCCAAAGGAUGUUGAAAGCUAGGCCGCGGAGUGACAGUUCUUGGGGGCCCCACUGUAGCUCCCUGCCCGCCCCACCGGCUGCUGUCAGUGGGAAGUGCACAGGCCCGGGGUGGGUAGAGGUAGGGUCCCAGCCUGGGCCAGCUCCCCGGGCCCUGCCACUGCAGACCUGGGCAGCCACCAGAGCUUUGCGUCUUGGGGAAAGAAAACUGGCUCAGAGAGGCUGAGUAACCUGCUCAAGAUGACACAGCUUGUGGGUGGCUGAGUUGGCCUUCCAACCCAGAUUCCUGUCAUGUUCCUCAAGCCGACAGGUUCAGCUUGGUUGUGACCUCUGCUAGAAGCCCUCCCUGGCCUCCCUGUGCACUGAGCUGGUGGUUCCUCCUUUGCGCCCCAGGUACAUGCUCAGAUCUGUGUACCCUACACUUUGUCCUCCAGCUUCGUGUUUGGAUGUUCACAACUCCCAUGAGAAGGGCCCCCGAGAGCUGGCACAGUGCAUGUGUUUCCUCUCCAGACUUCUACAAACCUGGCACAUAAUUGUUUGCUGAAAGAUGGCAUGUUCCUAAAACAGAGGAAGUAGAACCGAAUAAAGCGAAAUCCAACUUCCCACUCCCUGCUCUCACUUCCUCUGGGACAGGCCUUGAGCAAGAGAGACAAAAAGAACAAGAGAUGAUCUUUCCCUUUAAUGGGAUUUCAGUCUGAUCAGGGAGAUAGUAACAGAAAGACUAGACUAGACUAGUGUAUGAUUAAAUGACAUUUGCCAUCCCCAGAAGAGGGAGAGACCUGCAUGGAACAGGGUGGUCAAGGCAGGCUUCCUGGAGGAGGCAAAGACUUAGAUUUAACAGUACCAGAGCUCCAGGAUAGAUCCUCCUCUGACUGAACUCCCUAUUUCUUUCUCCCACCCCAACCUUCCCGGGUCCCCAGCUGAAGGGAUACGUGUGUGUGUGUGUGUACAUGUGCCUGCACACAUGUACACAUGUGGUUAGAAAGGGGGUAUUAGUAUCUCUCUCCUAGGAUGGAGUCUCAAGGACAGGCCCAUCAUCUCCUCAGUUUGCCCCUCUCUCUCCCACUUCACCUAGGGAAUGGAAUAAGAAUGGGAUAAGUAUAACACAAUGAGACGAAUGCAGAACCAACUAGAUGUACACCCAACAAUGUGGAUGAACCUUAAAACAGUGCUGCCUGAAGAAGGCAAGAAACAGAAUGAAAUCUGCAGCACAUCAUUCAUAUAAACUAAAAAUACAUGCACAGAGAAAGGCCACUUUUUUUUUUUUGGAGACAAAGUUUCGCUCUUGUCACUCAGGCUGGAGUGCAAUGGCACGAUCUCGGCUCACUGCAACGUCCACCUCUAGGGUUCAAGCGACUGUCCUGCCUCAGCUUCUAGAGUAGCUGGGAUUAUAGGAGCCCACCACCAUGGCCGGCUAAUUUUUGUCUUUUUAGUAGAGACGGGGUUUCACCAUGUUGCCCAGGCUGGUCUCAAACUCCUGACCUCAGGUGAUCCACGUGCCUCGGCCUCCGAAAGUGCUGGGAUUACAGGCGUGAGCCACCGCACCCAGUCAGCAACGUAUGUUUUGUAGAGACACAGACAAAGAUGUGAUGUCAAACACACUAAUGUGGUUGCCUCAUUUAUGGAUGGGGGACUGGGCUGGUGAAUGAGGAUUAAAGGAAUAAAUAAAUAAAACAAGAGAGGGCCUCUGUACAGAACGGUGAUGACAGCGUGCCGUCGAGGAGAAUGAUGAACUCAAACUUUUGCACCUGAGAGCCAAACAAAAGCUCAAAACCAAAAUCUCUCUUAGAAAUGAUGCCACUGACUUUAGGAUGGCACUCAUAUCUGUGUGAGUGGGAGAGAGAAGGGUUUGGGGCAGGGAUUUGACUGUAGCUGUAAUGUUUUAUUCCUUUAAAAAAGAUAAGAUAAUCUGAAACAAAAUGUUAAUAUCUGUUGAAUCUGGGGAGAGGCUAUGAGGGUUUCUGUUAAACCAUUUUGUGUACAUUUUAAAUACAGUCAUGCAUGAGUUAAUGAUGGGGAAUAAGUUCUUAGAGAUACGUUGUUAAGCAGUUUUGUUAUUGUGUGAACAUUAUCGAGUGUACUUACACAAACUUAGGAUGGAAUAGCUGACUAUAUAACUUAGACUAUAUGGUCUAGCCUAUUGCUUGAAGGCUGCAAACCCAUACUCCAUGUUACUGUACUGAAUAAUGAAGACAAGUGUAAUACGAUGGCAAGUAUUUGUGUAUCUAAACAUAGAAAAGGUACAGUAGAAAUGUGGUAUCGUAGUCUUAUGAGAGUACUGUUGUAUAUGCAAUGCUUUGUUGACUGAAACAUCAUUAUGUGGUUCAUGACUGUAUAUCAUAAUUUUAAAAAAUAUUUUAAGAGGUUGCCAAUCAAGACACUACAAACUAAUUUUGUGGCUUUUGUCAAAAUUCAUUUCUUUCUUUCUUUUUUUUUUUUUUGUUUUGAGACAGGGAUCACUCAAGCAAUCCUUCUGCCUUA
rnacentral:lncRNA from 1 species